CGGCUGCAAAGUGCCGUCUGCUUUCUGUCGGUUUCCAGCAGUCGCUCGGUCGGACAUUACCGUUUCUUUUAACCCGCAGAAGACAAAAUUACUUCCUAAAGAAAUGCUGGUGCAGGUGGAGCAUCAGGCAGUCCAGAAAUGGGUUCGGGUUCCAGUGACAGAUGACUGCUAUGAUUACUUGAAAUUCAUUCAAGAGGUUCAUGCUAAAUUCAACUUGGCAAGUGGAGUCUCUGUAGACCUGAAGGACUCAUCUGGAGUCGAUGUGGAUGCUGAUAUUUUUGAUGAACUCCUGAGG